ACAACGAAGAGUUUGAUCCUGGCUCAGGAUGAACGCUAGCGACAGGCCUAACACAUGCAAGUCGAGGGGCAUCGGGGCGAGGAGCAAUCCUUGCCGCCGGCGACCGGCGCACGGGUGAGUAACGCGUAUGCGACCUGCCCGUUGCAGGGGGAUAAUCGGGAGAAAUCCCGUCUAAUACCGCGUAAUGCCGCGGGGCUGCAUGGCCCUGCGGCCAAAGGAAGCGAUUCCGGCAACGGAUGGGCAUGCGUGACAUUAGCUAGUUGGCGGGGCAACGGCCCACCAAGGCGACGAUGUCUAGGGGUUCUGAGAGGAAGGUCCCCCACACUGGUACUGAGACACGGACCAGACUCCUACGGGAGGCAGCAGUGAGGAAUAUUGGUCAAUGGGCGCGAGCCUGAACCAGCCAAGUCGCGUGAGGGAUGACGGCCCUACGGGUUGUAAACCUCUUUUGUCGGGGAGCAAAUUCCGCCACGCGUGGCGGGGUCGAGAGUACCCGAAGAAAAAGCAUCGGCUAACUCCGUGCCAGCAGCCGCGGUAAUACGGAGGAUGCGAGCGUUAUCCGGAUUUAUUGGGUUUAAAGGGUGCGUAGGCGGACUGUCAAGUCAGCGGUAAAAUACGGGGGCUCAACCUCCGCCCGCCGUUGAAACUGACGGUCUUGAGUGGGCGAGAAGUAUGCGGAAUGCGUGGUGUAGCGGUGAAAUGCAUAGAUAUCACGCAGAACUCCGAUUGCGAAGGCAGCAUACCGGCGCCCAACUGACGCUGAAGCACGAAAGCGUGGGUAUCGAACAGGAUUAGAUACCCUGGUAGUCCACGCAGUAAACGAUGAAUACUAGCUGUCCGGGGCGAAUGAGCCCUGGGUGGCACAGCGAAAGCGUUAAGUAUUCCACCUGGGGAGUACGCCGGCAACGGUGAAACUCAAAGGAAUUGACGGGGGCCCGCACAAGCGGAGGAACAUGUGGUUUAAUUCGAUGAUACGCGAGGAACCUUACCCGGGCUCAAACGACACAGGAACGGUCCUGAAAGGGGUCGGCUCUACGGAGCCUGUGUCGAGGUGCUGCAUGGUUGUCGUCAGCUCGUGCCGUGAGGUGUCGGCUUAAGUGCCAUAACGAGCGCAACCCCCAUCGACAGUUGCUAACAGGUUAGGCUGAGGACUCUGUCGAGACUGCCGGCGCAAGCUGCGAGGAAGGCGGGGAUGACGUCAAAUCAGCACGGCCCUUACGUCCGGGGCGACACACGUGUUACAAUGGCAGGUACAGCGGGAAGCCACCUGGCGACAGGGAGCGGAACCCGAAAGCCUGUCUCAGUUCGGAUUGGAGUCUGCAACCCGACUCCAUGAAGCUGGAUUCGCUAGUAAUCGCGCAUCAGCCACGGCGCGGUGAAUACGUUCCCGGGCCUUGUACACACCGCCCGUCAAGCCAUGGAAGCCGGGGGUGCCUGAAGUGCGCUGCCGCAAGGAGCGCCCUAGGGUAAAACCGGUGACUGGGGCUAAGUCGUAACAAGGUAGCCGUACCGGAAGGUGCGGCUGGAACACCUCCUUU
rnacentral:rRNA from 1 species